rnacentral:rRNA from 1 species
GUGGAUGAGGCAUGCAAGUCGAACGAAGCAGCAAUGCUUAGUGGCGGAAGGGUUAGUAAUACAUAGGUAACUUGCCUUUAACUUUGGAAUAACGAUUGGAAACGAUCGCUAAUACCAAAUGAAGUGGAAAGUGGCAUCACCUUUUAUAAAAGUGGGGGAUCGUAAGACCUCGCGGUUAAAGAGAGGCCUAUGGGAUAUCAGCUAGUUGGUGUGGUAAUGGCGCACCAAGGCUAAGACGUCUAGGCGGAUUGAGAGAUUG